rnacentral:tRNA from 4 species
CGGAGCGUGGCGCAGUCUGGUAGCGCACCUGCUUUGGGAGCAGGGGGUCGCUGGUUCGAAUCCAGUCGCUCCGACCA